rnacentral:lncRNA from 1 species
CUUGAAACGGAUGUUACUGUUCUCAACAAACAACUUCGUCAAUCGGAACUGGAAACCAGACCAGACAAUAAUUGCUCAUGCGCAAUCAUGGAGAGAAAUUUCUUACAAAUGGCUGAAAAUGCCUACAAAAACAUCCGCAGACAUGACACAUCUGCUGACGGAUUUGCACAGUUUCGCAAAGAAUUAACCGAAACUAAUAAGAUACUUAAGGACUCAUUAACAGUACUAAACAAUAUGAAAGAGUUUUGUGAACACCGUUCUGUCGUCGGGUUGACGUAAUACAUGUUUUUUUUUUACAUAUUUAUUUAUUGUUGAAAUCUAUUUAUUGUUAUACUAUUUAUUUAUUUAUAAAUCAAACUGCCCCUCACAACAAUGAGGAAUUCUCUGGGGUUUUAUUUAAACGAUGUUUUUGUAAGGAAAUAAGAAUAUUAUUUAUUAUUUUAUUUAAUUGCCACCAGGUGGCAGGCCGAAGAAUGUCUCGUGUCAAAAGAGAGUGUAGUAUAUAAGACAGCUAACUGUGAUACAUAAAAUCUUUUGUUUUUAACAUCACACAGAAUUCAGUUGCUAUUUUAGUAAAACCAAAAAUAAUUUUGAAAUAACAUUUAAAGUGUAUUUCAUUGAUAUAUUUGAACGAAACAGACGAUGCCUUCCGAACAAUAUAUCGAACAGCCGUCCAUAAGUCAUUUUCACCAGUCACUUUCAGAUAGAAAACGAUGUAUUUUUUAUUGUACAAAGUUUUUAAGCGCUAAGAGAUCAUUAUCUGUAACUUUUGUGUUCUUUACUUUAUGUGUUCCUUAAAUCUGAUCUGUACCCGAAGUACAAGUUCGAAUUAAGUGAUUUCAUAUUAAGUAAAAUAUCUAUGGACCAUGCAAUUACAAGCAGCUAAAAAUUUUAUAUCAGCAGGUUAAAAGUUAAUUUUAUUCAGAUAAUGAUCUUUCAUCGCUUUGUUAAACUGUCUGUAAGUGACUCUAGUGAUAUAUCUCAAUAUAUUAUUGUUAUUUUUUAAAUAUUUAUUUGAAAGUGUUCUUUAUACAAUGUGUUCAGAUACAAAGGUUCUGAAGAGAACUUUACUAGCCAUAGAAUGUUUAUGAACAUAAAAGUUUACAGUUUGACCAAAUUAACUGUCCAAAUGCAUUGUAAAUUAUUUUCGAAGAUUCCCUUCAUUAGUUCGGUUGCUUUAUUUAAUUUCCUUUAUCAGCUAUAUUUCAAAAUCUUAUAAAAAUUGUUCAACUCCUAAUUUCAUUCCAUUAGCAAAUCAAAAACAAAUGUUCCUGUUUCAUCUCAUGUAUAAUUCAAUUUUGACAAUUUGACUUUGGUACAAAGACUGCAAAUUAUAAACAUUCUAUGGCUUGACAAUUAUAUGUGUUCAAACAUUGUUUUAUUCAUAAUGAUAAACAACCGUCCUUGUUUACAAUUUCAUUCAUUAUACAUCAACAGAGUUUAACUCGAAAUUUGAACGAACAAAAAAUCCAUGUUAUUUAUUUUCACGAGUUUAACUCAAAAUAAAGUGGAAAACGUGUUACCAUGAAAACAUGUUAAUUAGUAUAUAUCUGUAUUUAGGUUAGUAUGUCACAUGAUCAUUUUCAUCUCAUAGUUACUUCAUGAUGGAUAAACGUUUAGAUAACACUCCAUUGUUAGAAUGUGUGGAAGAGCACUAACAUUUCUUACUUAAUUGUUCAUUACAUUCACUAUUUAUAACGUUAGAGAACUCUGUGUAUUUUACUUCUUUGCUGUGAGCUUGUUGUGGUUUGGUGUGAUUUGAUACAAUAGGCAAAGUAAAACGUCCUUGAUUUUUUUCACCAUUAGUAUAUUUAAUUAGAGAUAUACAGGUAGACACUGUCUUAAAGCAUUGUUAGCUCUUUUAAUUCUAAAAAUAGUUAUGUUUGUCAGUUAAUGUUGAUUCAGGGAAAAAAUUAAAAACGCAUCAACUAUUUUACAGUUAUGACAUUUUGACUUAUCAAAAUUCAUGUUUUAACAUGGCGACAUAUUAAAUUCAAGUUUGAUGAUAACAUAUUAAAUUAUAGUUUUCACAUGACGUCAUAUUAAAUGUUAGCUUCAACAAGCUGCCAUUUUUAAUUCAAGUUUGAAAAUGAAAUUGGGAACAAAUUAAAUUGCAGUACGAUAGGGUGAUAUUAAAUUCAAGUUUUUACAAGGCGACAUAUGACAUAUUAGCUUUGACAUGGUGACAUGUGACAUAUUAGCUUUGACAUGGCGACAUAUGAUAUAUUGUCCUGACAUGGUGAGAUAUUAAGGUUAUUUUACUUUACCGGUAUUGUAUUGUGUUGUGUGAUGAUAUUGACAAACAGUGAUACUUGAUAGAGUUUAUUUAAUUAUUUAUAGAUUAAUUUAUACUUAUUUAUUAAUUCCCACUUUUACAUUAGAAUAGAACACUAUUUCUUACACUAUCGUGGCAGAUAAGACAACAUCAAAACUGCACUUCCGGUUCAUUCAGUAAAAGCCUUACUCUACUUCCGGUUCUUUUAUCUGCUCCUUUUCUUUUUUUUGAUAAAUUACAAUUUUUUUGGAAUUUUAACAUCGAAGUUGUUUAAUGUACUUUAAUUUUACCUCUAGAUAUCUUUAGGUUGUUUUUGUACUUGGGGUGAUCUUAGAAAUUAAAAUAUAUUUAUUCUUUAUGAAAUCUUUCAAAAUUAUUUACUGUUACCCCAUAUUCAAUUUUGGAUACAUUUUUUUCUUUAGUUUUAUUCCAUCGUUUUUCUUUAGUUGCAAUACGAUACUAUAUUGUAUAUGUUAUUGCUAUGGUAACAUACCGAUACGAUAUUUGUGCAUGUUAAAUGUUGUCUUUUUUGUCAGUAACUUUCUGCGUAUAUAUUUAUUUAACAAUUAUAUAGUAUUGUAACAUUGUAUGAUCUGAUGUCAGAUCUUUUCCCUUAUCAAUCCGUCCAUGAUUUCUAGGGAUUUAGAAUUAUUUGUGUAAAAGUUGUG